GACAGAGGGUGCAAACGUUGUUCGGAAUUACUGGGCGUAAAGCGCGUGUAGGCUGCCCCAGCAAGUCGGAUGUGAAAGCCCUGGGCUUAACCUAGGAAGUGCAUUCGAAACUGCUGGGCUUGAGCUCUGGAGAGGAAGGCGGAAUUCUCGGUGUAGAGGUGAAAUUCGUAGAUAUCGAGAGGAACACCGGUGGCGAAGGCGGCCUUCUGGACAGUAUCUGACGCUGAGACGCGAAAGCGUGGGGAGCAAACAGG
rnacentral:rRNA from 1 species